AGUGAACGCUGGCGGUAGGCCUAACACAUGCAAGUCGAACGGCAGCACAGUAAGCGCUUGCUCUUACGGGUGGCGAGUGGCGGACGGGUGAGGAAUACAUCGGAAUCUACUUUUUCGUGGGGGAUAACGUAGGGAAACUUACGCUAAUACCGCAUACGACCUACGGGUGAAAGCAGGGGAUCUUCGGACCUUGCGCGACUGAAUGAGCCGAUGUCGGAUUAGCUAGUUGGCGGGGUAAAGGCCCACCAAGGCGACGAUCCGUAGCUGGUCUGAGAGGAUGAUCAGCGACACUGGAACUGUGACACGGUCCAGACGCCUACGGGAGGCAGCAGUGGGGAAUAUUGGACAAUGGGCGCAAGCCUGAUCCAGCCAUACCGCGUGAGUGAAGAAGGCCUUCGGGUGGUAAAGCCCGUUUAUUGGGGAAGAAAAGCAGCAGGUUAAUACCCCGCUGUUCUGACGGUACCCAAAGAAUAAGCACCGGCUAACUUCGUG
rnacentral:rRNA from 1 species